GAACGCUGGCGGCAUGCCUUACACAUGCAAGUCGAACGGCAGCACGGGAGCAAUCCUGGUGGCGAGUGGCGAACGGGUGAGUAAUAUAUCGGAACGUGCCCAGUCGUGGGGGGAUAACGUAGCGAAAAGCUACGCUAAUACCGCAUACGAUCUAUGGAUGAAAGCGGGGGGAUCGCAAGACCUCGCGCGAUUGGAGCGGCCGAUAUCAGAUUAGGUAGUUGGUGAGGUAAAGGCUCACCAAGCCGACGAUCUGUAGCUGGUCUGAGAGGACGACCAGCCACACUGGGACUGAGACACGGCCCAGACUCCUACGGGAGGCAGCAGUGGGGAAUUUUGGACAAUGGGCGAAAGCCUGAUCCAGCAAUGCCGCGUGCAGGAAGAAGGCCUUCGGGUUGUAAACUGCUUUUGUACGGAACGAAGAGGCUCUUUCUAAUAAAGAGGGCCCAUGACGGUACCGUAAGAAUAAGCACCGGCUAACUACGUG
rnacentral:rRNA from 1 species